rfam:Brachypodium distachyon strain Bd21 chromosome 1, whole genome shotgun sequence.
AUAAUACUCCCUCCGUCCCAUAUUAAGUGACUCAAAUUAACUCAAAUAUGGAUGUAUCUAUGCCUAAAAAGCGUCUAGAUACAUGUAAUACAAAGUCACUUAAUAUGGGACGGAGGGAGUAGUUC